CAAGUCGAACGAAUCCCAGCUUUGUAGCAAUACCGAGCUGGGGGAAGUGGCGAAAGGGGCAGUAAUGCGUGGGUAACCUACCCCGGGGACCGGGAUAGCCACCCUAACGGGUGGGUAAUACCGGGCGAUGUAGCGAGAUCUCCUGACCUUGCUAUGAAACGAAUUUCGCCUCGUGAGGGGCUCACGUGGUAUUAGCUAGUUGGUGGGGUAACGGCCUACCAAGGCGAAGAUGCCUAGCAGGUGUGAGAGCACGACCUGCGCCACUGGCACUGAGACACUGGCCAGACUCCUACGGGAGGCUGCAGUCGAGGAUCUUCGGCAAUGGGCGCAAGCCUGACCGAGCGACGCCGCGUGCGCGAUGAAGGCCUUCGGGUUGUAAAGCGCUGUCGAGGGGGAGGAAAGCCGUAAGGUCUGACCUAUCCCUGGAGGAAGCACGGGCUAAGUUCGUGCCAGCAGCCGCGGUAAGACGAACCGUGCAAACGUUGUUCGGAAUCACUGGGCUUAAAGGGCGCGUAGGCGGGUGGUCAAGUCAGGGGUGAAAUCUUUCGGCUCAACCGGAAAACAGCCUCUGAUACUGACCGUCUUGAGCGAGGUAGGGGCAUGUGGAACUUCCGGUGGAGCGGUGAAAUGCGUUGAUAUCGGAAGGAACGCCGGUGGCGAAAGCGACGUGCUGGACCUCUUCUGACGCUGAGGCGCGAAAGCUAGGGGAGCGAACGGGAUUAGAUACCCCGGUAGUCCUAGCCCUAAACGAUGGGUACUAGGUAGUGGACUUAACAUGGGUUCACUGCCGAAGCAAAAGUGUUAAGUACCCCGCCUGGGGAGUAUGGUCGCAAGGCUGAAACUCAAAGGAAUUGACGGGGGGCUC
rnacentral:rRNA from 1 species